rnacentral:lncRNA from 1 species
GGAAGUCCCUCCCCGACGGCUGCGCCACAUCCCGGGAGGCUGUAGCUCUGCGGCUCAGAGCCCCGGCGCUGUGGAGGAGAUUCUAGACCGGGAGAACAAGCGGAUGGCGGACACCUUGGCCUCCAAGGUCACCAGGCUCAAGUCGCUGGCCUUGGACAUUGAUAGGGAUGUGGAGGACCAGAACCGGUACCUGGACGGCAUGGACUCGGAUUUCACGAGUGUGACGGGCCUCCUCACGGGGAGUGUGAAGCGCUUUUCCACAAUGGCGAGAUCUGGGCGAGACAACCGGAAGCUUCUCUGUGGUGUGGCCAUGGGCCUGAUCGUGGUCUUCUUCAUCCUCUCCUACCUCCUGUCAAGGGCAAGGACGUGAGCCAGUGGGAACUGGUUUCUGUAGGUACCUGGGACAACCAGGGUCUUCCUCUGCCUUGUGUCCUGGGCUCCAGAAGAUCUACCUACAAAAUACCCCUUCGAAGUGAUGAGCAUGGCUUAGGAAUCUUUUUCCUGUGUGGCUGGGAGCCUCUGACCCAGUAAGCUCAUGUUAGCUGGUCCCAUGUGUGCAAGGGGCCCAUCCCCAUUGGGUAACCAAGGCCCAGCUUCCUCUGCCAUCUUGGGUGCUAGAAGCCCUAGCAGAGCCAGGUUGGAGCAGAGCAGCUGGGAAUCCUGGACGUGACCACCUGUGACCAGCAGCCCUUCCCCCAGCCCUCAGGGUUCUGAUGUAUUGAGGCUUCUCUGCUUGGUCUUGGUCUGGAUAAGGCCACGUCUGGUAUUCGAGGUGCCCAGAGCCGACACAGGAAGGGGUGCGACUGUGAACCUCGAAUCAUUGCUGUCACUUUCAGCCAAGGGUCCUCAAACCAGAGAUGGCCGUUGCUCCUGGCCAGGGCUGCCGGGCACUGGUGGACCAGCAAGAGUCAAGGGUCCUGCCGAGAGGUGUCUGCCUGCCGUCCAACCCCAUGGCUGGAGCCCGACCCUCAGGGAAGGGCAGUGGCCAUGCGUGGAGAAGUGAACUGCAGCAUUGGCUGAAGACGCGGGCCCAGGUCCUCCUGGUCUCCCUGUGUCCAGGAGCAGAAACUGACCUUUUCUCAGGAUUCAGGGUCUGUCCAGCACCGAGACACGUUUCCAGGAGCCCAGAUCUCUAGAAAGAGGCUCAUCUGGCAUGUCAGAGUCAGGCAGGGUGUGAGCAGGGGCCUCUGUGGGUACAGCCUGGAGGCUUCCAGGUAACAGCUUUUCAUAGGAUCUGUAGGUCGCUUUUUGAGGGUCCGCGGACAGUUUCCACCGAGUCUGGCCCUUCCACCUACAGUAUCUGCCUAUCUCUCCUUGGGCCCUCAGUGCCCACUGGUCAGUCUCCUGCUCACACAAGGUGAACUGCAGUUUCUUCCAAACCAAUGGGUCUUUCUACCCCACUGUGAGAUCUCAGUGUCUUCCCAUGAAAACACCUGUAAGAAACGAGUCAUCAGCUCUGUCCUUCCCGUCUUUUGUUCCAGUUCUCUGUCUUCCUGGUCACUCCCCUUCACUCUCUGAGGGCUACCGGCUCACCGGCCAUCUUCACACAUACACAUGUGGUCAUAUGUCAGCCACAGCCUGUGCCUCUCGACUCCUGCCACCCCACCCUGCUCUGGUCUCUGGCCCUGGGCACCUCACCUUCUGGCCCUGCUGCUCCUGCUCCUCCUCUCUCUCUCCUUUGUUCUCCACCGAGCAGGCCUGGCUUGUCUCACACUCACCGUAAUGCCCUUCUCUUUUCCACUGCGCCUGGUUGGGCCUCAGCCUUCUGGAAGGGGAGCGUGCUACCUUCUCAUUUCCGAGUGCUCUGUUCUUACUGCCUCCAUCCCUCCAGUGUGUGCUUGUUUCUCACUCGGUGAGGUCCGCUUCCUUGCCUCCAUGGCUUCGACUCAGCCGUCAGCUCAUCUCAUGUUGAAAUUUGUCACAGGGACGUGCCUACUGUUCAUGAAGCUCAGCAGCUGCUGCCGUGUCGUGUUUCCAUCGGGUCACCACAGGCACGGCAGACACAUCAGACCUGAGUGUGGCAGCCGCCUGUUCUGGGCCUGCUAACCUGGCUUCCUGAGAAUAUGGCUCAGCCAUGGCUGUUGCUCCCCCCAGGAUGCUCUUACCUGCUGUGCCCACUCGUCUUGCCAGUGCAGACCAGGAAUUGAGGAUUUGCCUUUCAGAAUGACUGUCUCAAGAAGUGCUCUGCCCCCUCCGAGACCUCUGGUUGCUGUGUUCUCUCCUUGGGUCCCCACCUCUGCCUCCCCACUUCAUUUCCAUGGCUCUUGGCAGCUCUUCCAGCUAUUUUGGGGUCUGGGUUUUUGUCUCUGUCUGGUUUACUUUUUUGUUGCAUUAGGCUGAGUUCCUGAAUGCUGCUGCCACCACGUCGGCAGGGUUUUCUGUGGGGCCUGCACCCUUCUGCUCAGCCCUGUGCACUCAGCACCUCCUCCUGUGGAUAAGUGGGGUUUGCUAAGUGGCCCUUCAGACUAAAACAGAAGAGGCCUUGGAGUCCUCUGUGCCAAGGGAGGGCCCCAAGUCAAGGACAAGGCAUUUGGUCAUAAAAACUUGGAAUAAACAGAUUC